UACGUAGGGGGCAAGCGUUGUCCGGAAUUAUUGGGCGUAAAGAGCUCGUAGGCGGUCUGUCACGUCGGCUGUGAAAACCCGGGGCUCAACUCCGAGCUUGCAGUCGAUACGGGCAGGCUAGAGUUCGGCAGGGGAGACUGGAAUUCCUGGUGUAGCGGUGAAAUGCGCAGAUAUCAGGAGGAACACCGGUGGCGAAGGCGGGUCUCUGGGCCGAUACUGACGCUGAGGAGCGAAAGCGUGGGGAGCGAACAGG
rnacentral:rRNA from 1 species